rnacentral:sRNA from 1 species
AUCAACCACGCGUCCAUGGCGAUUCCUGCGCGCGCCGUCCACGCCCACCUGACGACUGUUUGCCACGUGUUGUUCGCC